rnacentral:rRNA from 1 species
UGGGGAAUAUUGCACAAUGGGGGAAACCCUGAUGCAGCAACGCCGCGUGAGUGAUGAAGCUCUUCGGAUUGUAAAACUCUGUCUUCAGGGGCGAUAAUGACGGUACCUGAGGAGGAAGCCACGGCUAACUACGUGCCAGCAGCCGCGGUAAUACGUAGGUGGCAAGCGUUGUCCGGAUUUACUGGGCGUAAAGGGAGCGUAGGUGGAUAUUUAAGUGGGAUGUGAAAUACUCGGGCUUAACCUGAGUGCUGCAUUCCAAACUGGAUAUCUAGAGUGCAGGAGAGGAAAGUAGAAUUCCUAGUGUAGCGGUGAAAUGCGUAGAGAUUAGGAAGAAUACCAGUGGCGAAGGCGACUUUCUGGACUGUAACUGACACUGAGGCUCGAAAGCGUGGGGAGCAAACAG